CGUGUCCUGCAGGGUGGAGGAUGUUCAGUGGUUCCUGUUAUCUUCUCUCUUCACGGGGUACUUCCUGGAAUAAUGCAAGAAGAGACUGCAGAGCAAAAGGAGCAGAUCUGGUGAUGAUAAACUCACUUGGAGAACAGAAAUUCCUGUCAAGCUUCACCACACAAACUAGUUGGAUUGGUUUGAGUGACGAAGACAUCGAGGGCACAUGGAAAUGGGUUGAUGGAACUCUGCUGACUGAGAAGUUCUGGUACAAUGGCACCGAUAGAGUUCAGCCUGAUAACGGGGGAGGAUAUCCCCAGUGGGGGGAGGAGGACUGCGCUGACAUAGAACCUUACAAGAAACCACAAUCAAACUGGAAUGAUCUGUCGUGUGACGCUGCUCUGCAAUGGAUCUGUGAGAAACCGGCUUAAUAAUUUAAACACAUCAUCUGUAAAGUGUGAUUGUGUUUUGGCAAAAAGCCUUUAAUGGUGUCGUUGUAAGUUGCAUUUAGAGAAGGAGACCAUGUAAGUGCUGAGAGGUCAGGUAUCAGGGUCUUAUUUUAAGUCUUUUUAUUAUGAUGCAUCUGUAGUGUGUGUCUGUAUGUGUGUGCUGGUGACUUUGGUAUCAAAGAAACAAAGCUGCAUGUUGUACUGAACCUAUAUUUUAAUAAAAAGCUUCACGCUGAAAUGCAUUUAUUAGAGCAAUAAAGGCGACCUGAGUUUUCAUUAAUUACGUCACAUUCCCCAAUGCACCCAGCUAGUAUGAACAUCUCCUCAUGUCCCUCAAUAACUACUAGAAUACAGUCCACUUAACAAGUAGCAUAAUGCAGCAUGUGUACUUCUAUGUAAUGAAAAUGGCUU